GAUGAAGAACGUAGCGAAAUGCGAUAAGUAAUGUGAAUUGCAGAAUUCAGUGAAUCAUCGAAUCUUUGAGCGCACCUUGCACCCUUUGGCAUUCUGAAGGGUAUGCUCGUUUGAGUGUCAUUGUACUCUCACACUCCCGAUCUUUGCAUUGGGAGCAGUGGACUUGGGUUUGCUGCUUCACCGUCGCUUACCUCAAAUAGGUUAGUGCAACUCUUGGUUGGACAUAGUACGGCGUGAUAAGUGUUCUUCGCCGGUGCCUCGCAAAGAGGGUGGCCGAUCGGGAUGUUGUGCUCCAAACCGUCUUCGGACAAUCUCUGACGACUUGACCUCAAAUCGAGUAAGACUACCCGCUGAACUUAAGCAUAUCAAUAAGCGGAGGA
rnacentral:misc_RNA from 1 species